rnacentral:rRNA from 1 species
GUGGGGAAUAUUGGACAAUGGGGGCAACCCUGAUCCAGCCAUGCCGCGUGAGUGAUGAAGGCCUUCGGGUUGUAAAGCUCUUUUGGCGGGGACGAUGAUGACGGUACCCGCAGAAUAAGCCCCGGCUAACUUCGUGCCAGCAGCCGCGGUAAGACGAAGGGGGCUAGCGUUGUUCGGAAUUACUGGGCGUAAAGCGAGUGUAGGUGGUUGUCAUAGUCAGGUGUGAAAGCCUUGAGAGCAACUCAAGAAAUGCAGUUGAUACUGGGCGACUAGAGGACCGGAGAGGAUAGGGGAAUUCCCAGUGUAGUGGUGAAAUACGUAGAGAUUGGGAAGAACACCAGUGGCGAAGGCGGCUAUCUGGACGGUUACUGACACUAAGACUCGAAAGCGUGGGGAGCAAACAGGAUUAGAUACCCUGGUAGUCC